rnacentral:rRNA from 1 species
GAACGAACGCUGGCGGCAUGCCUAACACAUGCAAGUCGAACGAGACCUUCGGGUCUCGUGGCGCACGGGUGCGUAACGCGUGGGAACCUGCCUUUAGGUUCGGAAUAACUCAGAGAAAUUUGAGCUAAUACCGGAUGAUGUCUUCGGACCAAAGAUUUAUCGCCUUUAGAUGGGCCCGCGUUGGAUUAGCUAGUUGGUGGGGUAAAGGCCUACCAAGGCGACGAUCCAUAGCUGGUCUGAGAGGAUGAUCAGCCACACUGGGACGGAGACACGGCCCAGACUCCUACGGGAGGCAGCAGUGGGGAAUAUUGGACAAUGGGCGAAAGCCUGAUCCAGCAAUGCCGCGUGAGUGAUGAAGGCCUUAGGGUUGUAAAGCUCUUUUACCCGAGAUGAUAAUGACAGUAGCGGGAGAAUAAGCUCCGGCUAACUCCGUG